rnacentral:misc_RNA from 1 species
GGAAGGAUCAUUACUGAGUAUCUUUGCCUUUAGGCAAACCUCUCUAUCCAUAAACUCUUUUUAUAAAGACAUGAUUUUAUUAUACUAGUCUGAAUGAUUUAUCAAGAAUCUUUUAAAACUUUCAACAACGGAUCUCUUGGUUCUCGCAUCGAUGAAGAACGCAGCAAAAUGCGAUAAGUAUUGUGAAUUGCAGAAUUUUGUGAAUCAUCGAAUUUUUGAACGCACAUUGCACCUUCUGGUAUUCCGGAGGGUAUACCUGUUUGAGCGUCAUUUAUAUACUCAAAACUUUAUUGUUUUUGGUUAUGGGCAUCUAUUCUUGAUUGAAUUUGCCUGAAAUACAACGGUAGAGUGGUCACUGGGAAGACAGGUUUAACCAAUGCUAUUAAAUUUAUCGUUGGGCAGGUUUGUUCUUUUAGGUGACUAUGCUUCCUUAACGUCCUUGCGGACAACAUUUCUUAAAUUUUGACCUCAAAUCAGGCAGGAGUACCCGCUGAACUUAAGCAUAUCAAUAAGCGGAGGAAAAGAAACCAACAGGGAUUGCCUUAGUAACUGCGAGUGAAGCGGCAAGAGCUCAAAUUUGAAAUCUGGCACCUUCGGUGUCCGAGUUGUAAUUUGUAGAAGCAUCUUUUGGGCUGGUCCUUGCACAUGUUCCUUGGAACAGGACAUCAUAGAGGGUGAGAAUCCCGUACAUGGUGGGGAGUCCAGUCCUUUGUAAAGUGCUUUCGAAGAGUCGAGUUGUUUGGGAAUGCAGCUCUAAGUGGGUGGUAAAUUCCAUCUAAAGCUAAAUAUUGGCGAGAGACCGAUAGCGAACAAGUACAGUGAUGGAAAGAUGAAAAGAACUCCGAAAGGAGAGUGAAAAAGGACGUGAAAUUGUUGAAAGGGAAGUGCUUGAGAUCAGUCUUAGGAUUCAGUGAUCAAUCUUCCUUUUGGUUGGUGCACUCACUGUUUUCUAGGCCAACAUCAGUUUUCGCGGCAGGAUAAUGUCCCAGGAAUGUGGCUCCCUCGGGAGUGUUAUAGCCUGGGUUGAUACUGCCAGCUUAGACUGAGGUCUGCGCUUUUUGCUAGGAUGUUGGCAUAAUGAUCUUAAUCAGCCCGUCUUGAAACACGGACCAAGGAGUCUAACAACUAUGCAAGUGUUUGGGUGUAAAACCCGUACGCGUAAUGAAAGUGAACGUAGAUGGGAACCUUUUGGUGCACCAUCGACCGAUCCUGAUGUCUUCGGAUGGAUUUGAGUAAGAGCAUAGCUGUUGGGACCCGAAAGAUGGUGAACUAUGCCUGAAUAGGGUGAAGCCAGAGGAAACUCUGGUGGAGGCUCGUAGCGAUUCUGACGUGCAAAUCGAUCGUCAAAUUUGGGUAUAGGGGCGAAAGACUAAUCGAACCAUCGGCGAAAAGCUACUAGGUGGUUAAGAGGAUCAUGAGUUGUGGUUCUAGUCCGAGGAAGUUGGGCAAGACUGUCAAAUUGCUGGAACACCCUAAAGACAAACGGUACUAAGCUGGACUGGAAACGGUUCGGUGGAGCAGGUAACUACUGCCGAGUGAAAAUCUGUUUGUAUGUAACAAUGGGCAAUCAGCAGCCAAGUCCUAAACCACGAAGUGGCAUGGAUGCAGUUCAGAGACUAAAUGGCAGCCGGUACCUAAAUUGGUGCUUAAGAUAUAGUCCAAUCCCAGCUGAAAAGGUGGUCUGCAGACAAAGCGCACGCUCUAACUUCCAUACUUGGACGUGUGCCCGAAUCUGCAGGACUUGUGCGACGCAGUGCAAGUGUAGAAUGCUAGUAGCUGGUUCCUGC